UACGUAGGCAGCAAGCGUUGUUCGGAGUUACUGGGCGUAAAGGGUGCGUAGGCGGUUGUUUAAGUUUGGUGUGAAAUCUCCCGGCUCAACUGGGAGGGUGCGCCGAAUACUGAAUGACUCGAGUGCGGGAGAGGAGAGUGGAAUUCCUGGUGUAGCGGUGAAAUGCGUAGAUAUCAGGAGGAACACCGGUGGUGUAGACGGCUCUCUGGACCGUAACUGACGCUGAGCACGAAAGCGUGGGUAGCAAACAGG
rnacentral:rRNA from 1 species